rnacentral:rRNA from 1 species
AAUCAACGCUGGCGGAAUGCUUUACACAUGCAAGUCGAACGGCAGCACGGGUGCUUGCACCUGGUGGCGAGUGGCGAACGGGUGAGUAAUACAUCGGAACGUACCCAGUUAUGGGGGAUAACUAACCGAAAGGUUAGCUAAUACCGCAUACGCCCUGAGGGGGAAAGCGGGGGACCGUAAGGCCUCGCGUAAUUGGAGCG